GGGCGUGUAGCUCAAUGGUUAGAGCACCAAGCUUAUACCUUGGGGGUUGAUGGUUCGAGUCCAUCCGCGCCCACCA
rnacentral:tRNA from 1 species